rnacentral:rRNA from 1 species
UGCAAUCGCCUAGCCCAACCACACAUUCAAAAUUCCCCAUACACCCAAACUGAACCAUCUGCCAAAAAUAGUAUUCGCGCCAGAACUCUACCACCCGACGCAAUAGCACAAAGUACCGCAAGGGAAAGAUGAAAGACACAUGAGACACCCCUGCACACCACAGCAGAGCUAGACCCUCGUACCUCCUGCAUCAUGAUUUAGCAAGCACACCUCGACCGCGGAGCCCCAAAGCCCCGACACCCCGAAGCCAAACGAGCUACCCAGGGGCAGCUUAUACAAAGUACACCCAUCUCUGUAGCAAAAGAGUGGGAAGACCCCCGGGUAGAGGCGAAACACCAACCGCGCUUGGCAAUAGCUGGUAGCUCACAAAAUGAAUAUAAGUUCAACUAUGAAGCACACACCAACCUACCACACCCAUAAGCCCAUAGUACCUUCAUAAGUAAGACAGUGAGGGAACAGCCCCACUUUCAUCGGACACAGCCGCCCCCAGCAGACAACCAUCAUACCACCUAAACCAGUAGGCCCCAAAGCAGCCACCAAACCCCGCGUCAUAGCAGAGCACAAAAAAUCCCACAAGUAAUAGCCCAACCCUGGACAACCACUGAGCCACUCUAGACCCUAGAGGAACUACUACUAAAACUAGUAAUAAGGUCCCCCACCUCUCAUUGCACAAACUAACCUCAGCAUCAGAUCUCCUACUGACACCUAACCCCCCCCCGCCACGGCCCUAAGUAUAACUCAAAUAAUCCACUUACACCAACUGUUAACCCAACCCAGGCGUGCAAAAUAGACAGACUAAAAGCCAAGAAAGGAACUCAGCUAAUAUGCCCCAACUGUUUACCAAAAACACAGCCUUUAGCAGACACAGUAUUAAAGGUCCUGCCUGCCCAGUGAACCAACAUUCAACGGCCGCGGUAUCCUAACCGUGCAAAGGUAGCGUAAUCACUUGUCUUCUAAAUAGAGACCUGUAUGAACGGCCCUAUGAGGGCCUAACUGUCUCCCCUGGCCACUCAAUGAACCUGAUCUCCCAGUACAAAAGCUGGGAUACACCCACAAGACGAGAAGACCCCGUGGAGCUUAAGGCUCACCACUACCCACACCCAUAGUGCCUCCCUUCAGUUGGGGCGACUGCGGAAAAAACAAAACCUCCACGCACAAUACAACGGUUAACACACCACCGUACUAAAUACAUGACCCAGUACAACUGAUUAACGAACCAAGUUACCCCGGGGAUAACAGCGCCAUCCUCUUAUAGAGCCCCUAUCGCCAAGAGGGUUUACGACCUCGAUGUUGGAUCAGGACCCCCAAGUGGUGCAGCAACUACUAAUGGUUCGUUUGUUCAACGAUUAAAGUCCUACGUGAUCUGAGUUCAGACCGGAGCAAUCCAGGUCGGUUUCUAUCUAUGACACCCACUUCUUUAGUACGAAAGGAUCAAGAAGACUACACCCCUAGGCCACCCACAUGUAACCUACAAUCCAUGACCCCAAACUAAACACCCACAACUUCCCCCCCCCGCCCCAAGACAAGGGCACC